rnacentral:rRNA from 1 species
UACAUAGGGUGCUAGCGUUGUUCGGAAUCAUUGGGCGUAAAGGGCGUGUAGGCGGUUUGUUAAGUCAUGUGUGAAAUCCCUCGGCUCAACCGGGGAACGACGCAUGAAACUGGCAAGCUAGAGUACCAAAGAGGGGGGUGGAAUUCCCGGUGUAGCGGUGAAAUGCGUAGAUAUCGAGAGGAACACCUGCGGCGAAGGCGGGUUGCUGGGCUGACACUGACGCUGAGGCGCGAAAGCCAGGGGAGCGAACGGG